rnacentral:rRNA from 1 species
CAGUAGCCGCGGGAAUACGUAGGUGGCAAGCGUUGUCCGGAAUUAUUGGGCGUAAAGGGCUCGCAGGCGGUUUCUUAAGUCUGAUGUGAAAGCCCCCGGCUCAACCGGGGAGGGUCAUUGGAAACUGGGAAACUUGAGUGCAGAAGAGGAGAGUGGAAUUCCACAUGUAGCGGUGAAAUGCGUAGAGAUGUGGAGGAACACCAGUGGCGAAGGCGACUCUCUGGUCUGUAACUGACGCUGAGGAGCGAAAGCGUGGGGAGCGAACAGGAUUAGAGACCCGCGUAGUCCCUGUCUCUUAUAA